rnacentral:rRNA from 1 species
GACGAACGCUGGCGGCGUGCCUAAUACAUGCAAGUUGAGCGCUGAAGGUUGGUACUUGUACCGACUGGAUGAGCAGCGAACGGGUGAGUAACGCGUGGGGCAUCUGCCUUUGAGCGGGGGACAACAUUUGGAAACGAAUGCUAAUACCGCAUAAAAACUUUAAACACAAGUUUUAAGUUUGAAAGAUGCAAUUGCAUCACUCAAAGAUGAUCCCGCGGUGUAUUAGCUAGUUGGUGAGGUAAAGGCUCACCAAGGCGAUGAUACAUAGCCGACCUGAGAGGGUGAUCGGCCACAUUGGGACUGAGACACGGCCCAAACGCCUACGGGAGGCAGCAGUAGGGAAUCUUCGGCAAUGGACGAAAGUCUGACCGAGCAACGCCGCGUGAGUGAAGAAGGUUUUCGGAUCGUAAAACUCUGUUGGUAGAGAAGAACGUUGGUGAGAGUGGAAAGCUCAUCAAGUGACGGUAACUACCCAGAAAGGGACGGCUAACUACGUG